GCCCUAGUGGCUCAGCUUGGUAGAGCGUCUGAUGAAAACAGAAGGUCGCAGGUUCAAAUCCUGCCUAGGGCU
rnacentral:tRNA from 1 species